rnacentral:rRNA from 1 species
UACCAGCACCCCGAGUGGUCGGGACGUUUAUUGGGCCUAAAGCAUCCGUAGCCGGUUCUACAAGUCUUCCGUUAAAUCCAGCUGCUUAACAGAUGGGCUGCGGAAGAUACUAUGGAGCUAGGAGGCGGGAGAGGCAAGCGGUACUCGAUGGGUAGGGGUAAAACUCCGUUGAUCCAUUGAAGACCACCAGUGGCGAAGGCGGCUUGCCAGAACGCGCUCGACGGUGAGGGAUGAAAGCUGGGGGGAGCAAACCGG